ensembl:lncRNA
CUAUUGAUACUUGGGGGACGCCCCGCCCAUUUGUCCUUGGACACUAAUGGUUUCCUCCUCUCCUCUCCAGGACUACUCCUUCUCCUGCAGAGUGGAUCCUUCGCGCCUUCCUCCUCUUAACCUUCCUCCAGUUCCAGACCUCCGGCACACCCCCCUCCCCCCUCUCUGGAGGGUCCCCUCCCCGCUGCCCUGGCUCCAACCCAUCGCCAGGACAAUGGCCCCGAGGCUAACCUCGAGGCUGCAACCCAGGAGAUGGGGCGGGUCCGUGUUGAGGAUCCAGAGAUUCAGCUGGACGCCCCUGGACCCAAAUGCUCCCAGACCCAGACUUCACUACUAUAGCGUCCUCCAGAGCAGCAGGGUCUCCAGGAGCAGGGCCCCCCCCGACCAGCCUCCGUCCUGGGUGUACGAUAGGACACGACCCCCUGAAGAACAAGGAGGAGCCCAGGUGAAACCAGACACAUGAUGUAACUUUCAGAGAGCACUCCAGGGUAUGUUGUGAUAGUCCAGUGUUGUACAGCCAGGCAGCAGAGAGCAGAAACACCUGCCAGAGCCCCCCAGAGAAGAGACCACAGGUCUAGACAUGGGUCUGAAGAGGACCUACAAUACCUGGCUCCCAGGAGUGCCCAGAAGAGGCUUUCCUCCUGUCAUCCCAGAAGACAGAGAGGAAGAAGGCGAUGAGGCAGCGGAGCAGCAGGAGGAAGAGAGGGAGGAGCAAGAGAGCGGCCUUGUAGGUCAGGCUGGAGGAGAGACAUGUCUGAAGGUAGCCAUGCUUGAUUCAUGCUGGAAGUCUUCUCCUCUGGCUCAGAUCCGUUACUAUGGACGACACUGGCCUGGAGAUCAAGGGGGAGGACCAGGGUCCACAGGUGCUGGUCUUCACACUGGCCUUCUGAAAGUCCCGAUGCCCCGGCAUGCCCGGUCAAACCCGAGCCCCAAGAGGAAAGAGGAGAGCAGAGAAUCCGAGGACAGAGGGACGAAGGACAUGGAUGUAAAGGAGUGGAAGAAAGAAUUGAAGAAAGAGGAGCUGAAAAAGUCUGUGUGAUUCUACUUCAACCGUUAGCAGAGAUGGCUACUCCUGUGCUGAUGCAUUGCUUUGAGGGGAGGAAAGGCCCAGGGAGGCAGAGUUCUCUGGCUGCCCUGCACACCAGACAGCUUGACCCCCGUUCUGACCUCCACAACCUCCAUGACCUCCAGGAGUCUGGGGGUACCAGCGGGGGGGUGGUGAGGGGCACACUGCCCCAGGUGCUGAGAGAGUUCCAGGCAAGGCAGUCCAUGGGCAGCCUGCUCUUGGGUCCUGAUGGGGAGGUCCUUCAGCUGUCCCUCUAUGAGAACCACGCAGAUAGGCUCCAGCUGGCGCACCGUGAUGAGGUCACAGAGGAGGAGAAGGGGCAAGAACAGCUGCCCUGGGUCUCUUCCCUGAGGCCCGAACACACACAGAGAGGUACACGCACACAAACACACACACAAACACAAACACAUGUUAACGCAAACAACCAAACAUGCUUUAACAUACACACACACGCACAAAGACACACUCACACACACACACACAUGUUAACGCACACACCCAAACAUACCUUAACAAACACACACACACACACACACACACACACACACACACACACACACACACACACACACACACACACACACACACACACACACACACACACACAGCCUCAUGACAUGAAUCUUCCCAUAAGGGAUGUGGUUCUUAGUGAAGCCAGUGGUUGCCAAGGGCGACCAGCGUGUCAGCCAUUGUGUCUGAUGGGUUGGGUUUCUGCUCUGCUAGGAUAA